rnacentral:rRNA from 1 species
AUGAAGCGCCUGUUCAGACGGCUCUCCCGCGUGGCCGCGGCCGACGCCUGCGCUGCCGCCGCCUACAAGCCGCUCCGGCCCGACGCUGCCGCGAAGGCCUCCUCCACGGCAGCUUCGUCGUCGUCCUCCUCGUUCUUCGGCGCGCGGAGGCUCGGCCGGGGCUCGCGGGUGCCGGAGGGGCACGUGCCGGCCCUGCUCCGGCGCGCCGCGCAGGAGUACGGCUACGGCCACCCUGGUGCACUCCGCAUCCCCUGCGCCGUGGCCAACUUCCGCCGCCUCCUCCUCGGCCUCUCCGACCUCGGCUGCCAGGCAACCGACGACGACGACGCCGCGCUCUACUACUAG